rnacentral:rRNA from 1 species
AUUGAACGCUGGCGGAAUGCUUUACACAUGCAAGUCGAGCGGCAGCGCGGGGGGCAACCCUGGCGGCGAGCGGCGAACGGGUGAGUAAUACAUCGGAACGUGUCCUUAAGUGGGGGAUAGCUCGGCGAAAGCCGGAUUAAUACCGCAUAAGCUCUGAGGAGGAAAGCGGGGGCUCCGUAAGGACCUCGCGCUGUUGGAGCGGCCGAUGUCGGAUUAGCUAGUUGGUGGGGUAAAGGCCCACCAAGGCGACGAUCCGUAGCUGGUCUGAGAGGAUGAUCAGCCACACUGGAACUGAGACACGGUCCAGACUCCUACGGGAGGCAGCAGUGGGGAAUUUUGGACAAUGGGGGCAACCCCUGAUCCAGCCAUUCCGCGUGAGUGAAGAAGCCCUUCGGGUUGUAAAGCUCUUUCGGACGGAACGAAAUGGUUAGGUCGAAUACGCCUGACUGAUGACGGUACCGUAA